GUUUGGAGACUUGGCAGGGAGCCAGCUUCAAACCACCUCAACUCCAUAUUUUAAAAGACUUGUUAUUAGUUCUGUAGAUCUAACCCUUGCUGUACCACUGUCAAGUGUUUUGGAUGAGUAAAAGUUUGUGUGCUAAUCCUAUUCCCAGCGAAGGCAACUAGAAACUGUAUUUCCCUGUCUGUACCAUUUAGGUAACACUUAUUUUGACCAACUUUUGAGAAGGAGAAAUAAGUUACAUUCAUCAAAUUAUUUGAAAACUCAGAGCAUUAUAAAGAAAUUUGUUAACAGAAAUUGUGAAGAACACACCUUUGGUGAAAAAGACAUUCUCCACUCAUCCAUUUGGCUGAAAUUUAGACAAGAAACAGCUGAAUAGGUCCUACAGUGCAUUUGCAUAUUACACCCCUGCAUUCAACAGGCAAACCUACAUCUAAUAAUAAAUACUGAAGAGAACAGAAUGAGUCCAUGGGUGUCAAUGCAGAAAAGAGACUUGAUGCACUAAGAGACUUCAUCUGUCUGACUCUAUCUACUCAGUAAUUUGGCAGAAGAGAUGUGCUUUCAAUAUACUAAACUCUAAGUCUCAAGAAAAUCAACAAGUGUGCAGAGGACUGUAAUUACAUUAACUGACCCACUCUCUAAAAGAAUGGAGCCCAGAUCCAAACCUGAAAUUGAAGAAUCCACAGAGAGAUGUAACAGUGUACACACUUCAACUACAGAAAAGUCCCAGAUAAUCCUCAGAUCAACUGUAAGACUCAAGUCCCUCAGAAGUCCAUACCUUAUGGAACAUCUCCUUCCAGAGUUUUUCUCAUCUUCUCACUUUAAUGUAGCACUGCAGAUUGUGCAUCUCACUUCUAGUUUCCAACUUUUUUUGUCUUCUUAUAUAUACUGUUUAAUAAUUUGUAAGUUUAUUUUCUUGCAUUUCUACAUCCAUAAAGAGAGUCACCCUUUUGUAUGAUUCUCUUUCAGUUAUUAAGCAGUAAAACCUCAAUAAAGUUUUCAAUAACUGUUCCUUCAGCUUGUUUUUAUUCCUUUUGAUGAUAUCUGCUAAAUCUCUUUAUAUUCCCUUUCCCCACAACUCUCUACAGGUUAGGACUUCUGUUUUAUCUGCAUUUUAAUACUUCUCAAUUAUAUUUACCAGAUUUAAAACCUAUCUUUACAUGUCCCAGAAAGCCCAUCAAAUUUUGUUCCAGAUUAUUCUUUCUAUUUGAUCCUUCCCACUCUUCCAUUAUCUCCAUAUAUUGUCAACAUCUUUUGGACAGUCUGUAAAGGGAUUACUCACUUUCAUGACAUUGUUAUUUCUACUUACUUAAAAGUACAAGCUUACCACGCCAGUUGUGCAAUCCUCCCUCCCUUCAGUUUUAGUCAUCUCUUUUUUCUUUCUUGGGCCUCUGUACAGAGUUAUUUCCUCUUUACUUUUUACAUAUUCUCCUAAUUUUUUCAGCAACAAAAUUCAGACAUUACCGUAAAUAAAACUAACAAGACAUGUCUCAAGUGUGCUCAGGAAAAAAAAGUCAACCUUGAUCCAAUAUUGUAUCCCUGUAUAAGUUACUCUAGUGAGGG